rnacentral:rRNA from 1 species
UACGUAGGUGGCAAGCGUUGUCCGGAUUUAUUGGGUUUAAAGGGUGCGUAGGCGGUCUAUUAAGUCAGUGCUGAAAUAUCCCAGCUUAACUGGGAGGGUGGCAUUGAUACUGAUGGACUUGAGUAAAGUUGAGGUUGGCGGAAUUGACGGUGUAGCGGUGAAAUGCUUAGAUAUCGUCAAGAACACCUAUUGCGAAGGCAGCUAACUAAGCUUAAACUGACGCUGAGGCACGAAAGUGUGGGGAUCAAACAGGAUUAGAAACCCCAGUAGUCC